CUUGAAGCAAAAGUUCCUGAUAUCAGGGUGCUAACAAUUUAGGAGAUUGAGAACGACCUGAAGGGAGCAGUGUGGAACCUGAAGGUGGAUAGGGAAGGGAGUAACGAAUGAUAGAGUCUUUUCUAUGAGGACGAGGAAGGCCAGUGCCAACACCUGAAGUGAAGAGGCCUCCUAAUGCUUUCUAGGAUCUGGAAGAAGUUCAGUGUGAGGACGAGUGUUAGGAAAUAAGGCUGAAGACAGAGGCAACCCUGGAGGAUCUUCUAACCCAUGUCAAGCAGUUGAGAAUUUAUGGAGUGAAAUAGCAAGCCAUUGAAGAGUUUCAAGUUUCAGCUUUCUGAAAAAUGUCACUCAUCCAGGAGUCCUUGGUUACCAAUGAUAAAUGAGAUGUCCAAACCCCAAAGAUACUGAUGUUAG
rnacentral:lncRNA from 1 species